CCCCUAGAUGUUCUGGGCCGCACGCGCGCUACACUGAACAGUUCAACAAGUCUUAACCUUGGCCGAUAGGUCUGGGUAAUCUUUGAACGCUGUUCGUGAUUGGGAUAGACCUUUGCAAUUAUGGGUCUUCAACGAGGAAUUCCUAGUAAACGCAAGUCAUCAGCCUGCAUUGAUUACGUCCCUGCCCUUUGUACACACCGCCCGUCGCACCUACCGAUUGAAUGGUCCGGUGAAAUCUCGGGACGGCGGCUCGGUCGCUUGCGUCCGACUGCUGAAACUUGAUUAAACCAUAUCAUUUAGAGGAAGGUGAAGUCGUAACA
rnacentral:rRNA from 1 species